UACGGAGGGGGCAAGCGUUGUUCGGAAUUACUGGGCGUAAAGGGCGCGUAGGCGGAACAUUAAGUUAGGGGUGAAAGGCCUGGGCUCAACCUGGGAACGGCCUCUAAGACUGAUGAUCUCGAGUCCGGAAGAGGAUGGCGGAAUUCCCAGUGUAGAGGUGAAAUUCGUAGAUAUUGGGAAGAACACCGGUGGCGAAGGCGGCCAUCUGGUCCGGCACUGACGCUGAGGCGCGAAAGCGUGGGGAGCAAACAGG
rnacentral:rRNA from 1 species